GAUGAACGCUGGCGGCGUGCUUAACACAUGCAAGUCGAACGAAGCACUUAUCAUGAAGUUUUCGGAUGGAUUGAUAAAUGACUGAGUGGCGGACGGGUGAGUAACGCGUGGGUAACCUGCCUUAUACAGGGGGAUAACAGUUGGAAACGACUGCUAAUACCGCAUAAGCGCACAGUGCUGCAUGGUACCGUGUGAAAAGAUUUAUCGGUAUAAGAUGGACCCGCGUCUGAUUAGCUGGUUGGUGGGGUAACGGCCUACAAAGGCGACGAUCAGUAGCCGGCUUGAGAGGGUGAACGGCCACAUUGGGACUGAGACACGGCCCAAACUCCUACGGGAGGCAGCAGUGGGGAAUAUUGCACAAUGGGGGAAACCCUGAUGCAGCGACGCCGCGUGAGUGAAGAAGUAUUUCGGUAUGUAAAGCUCUAUCAGCAGGGACGAAAGAAGUUGAAAGACACUUCCUGACGGUACCUGACUAAGAAGCCCCGGCUAACUACGUGCCAGCCGCCGCAGUAA
rnacentral:rRNA from 1 species